rnacentral:rRNA from 1 species
AUUUUCCGCAAUGGGCGAAAGCCUGACGGAGCAAUACCGCGUGAGGGAUGAAGGCCUUUGGGUUGUAAACCUCUUUUAUCAAGGAGGAAGUUCUGACGUGUACUUGAUGAAUAAGCAUCGGCUAACUCCGUGCCAGCAGCCGCGGUAAGACGCAGGAUGCAAGUGUUAUCCGGAAUCACUGGGCGUAAAGCGUCUGUAGGUGGUCUAAAAAGUCCACUGUUAAAAAUUGAAGCUUAACUUCAAAGAUGCCGUGGAAACUUUUAAACUUGAGUAUGAUAGGGGUAGAGGGAAUUUCCAGUGGAGCGGUGAAAUGCGUAGAUAUUGGAAAGACCACCAAUGGCGAAGGCACUCUACUGGGCCAUUACUGACACUGAGAGACGAAAGCUAGGGGAGCGAAU